rnacentral:tRNA from 1 species
GCCUCUGUAGUUCAGUGGAUAGAAUGCCACCCUGCGGAGGUGGUGACCGCGGUUCAAAUCCGCGCAGAGGCA